GAGAGGAGCUAUCCAGGAAGAACCACUAAGAUGGUGACAAUCCCAUGACUUUUUGUUGUAGUUUAAAGAUAAUCCUAAUGUGUUCUUGUUUCAUCUGGCGAAGAUGUAUGUUUUUCCUUGGAAGAUUUUCAUUGGUUAUGUUGGAGUGUUUGUUGACCAAAUGCCCUCAAUAGAGAACUGUGUUCAAUCCAAGAGAACCUACUCCUGACUUGUUUAUUGUAUUUUCAGAUGUGUAGGAAGAGACUCAGCAUAGUUAAAUAGCAUUGCUUGUGUGAAUGUCGGCUAAUGCAGCUGUAUUGAGGCUCUGGGAAGAAUAAACUUGUUUAAGCUUUCAUAGUGUCCGUUGAGUUCAUACUCUGAAAAUUAGAACCUAACAAUACUAUAUCCUUAAUGCUUUAGUAUAAAUCAAUCUGAUAUUGUUAUAUUGAGCACAGCCAAUCAGCCUCAACUGGGUGGCAGUAACUGCUGCUCUCUGACCUGUAAGGGCCAUGGACAGACUGAACACUCCUCACUGGACAAGAGACUGCUCUCUGAAGAGAUCUUUCCUUUGACCUGGAAAAAAGAGAAUGAAGCAGACCAUUGUAAGGAUGUCUCUGAAAUCUAACUCAGGAGCUGACCUCAAUGACCCAGUGGUAAAGGAACAGAUGUUGGAGCAGAUAAGAAAAGAGUUUGCGAAGAACAUGAACUUCAUCCAAGGUUUUUUGGAAAACAGUUGAACUUGGAAGCCCUGAAGAAGGUCAGUGUGGGUCUGGAUGAAGAGGACCAGCCAUGAUGCUGCAACAGGAGAGGGAUGGAAGGUCAAAGAGAACCACAUGAUGUAUUAUCUACCUUAAAACACAUAAUGCAAUAUUAUUUUAGUUAAUGUUAUGAUAGUUUGAUUUGCCUUAUGAAAUAAACAUAUUAAGUAAAUGUAUAUUAGGAUAGAUUUUACAAUGUUUUACUAUUGGAACAUCAAAUUAUAAUGAUUUUUGUUAGUGUAUGAAGGUAAUGUUGUACAUAAGGGCAAUUUGAUAAGAGAAGAGGAAUAAAAAGGACAUUUGUGGUGUUUCAAGUUUGCAAUUAAAAACAUGUAUGGUGGCAGUGAGGGAUUGUCAGAGUGUAAAAGUCUUCAUAAUGAUGUUACACACUCACUCAUGGAUGUAACUGUUGACAUUCUGACAUAAAAUACAU